AAUGACAUGUAUUUAAUACAAUCAUAAUAAACAACAUAUCAACAGUAUUGAAUUCAACAUUACAUGUAUUUAAUUCUUUUCACAAUAAACAACAUAUCAACAGUAUUGAAUUCAACAUUACAUGUAUUUAAUUCUGUUCACAAUAAACAAGAUCAACAGUAUUGAAUUCAACAUUACAUGUAUUUAAUUCUGUUCACAAUAAACAAGAUCAACAGUAUUGAAUUCAACAUUACAUGUAUUUAAUCCUGUUCACAAAUCAAAGUACUGAAAGUACUGAUGGGAGUUGAUUUUAUCUAGAUUUGCACCAGAUACUUCUGGGAUUGAGCAUUAUUCCAAAAUAUUUUUUUUUUAGAGAAAUACACUCAAAAGUCACAAGCGUACGCAUAAACGUAUGUUGUGUUUCAAUAACAAUCAACGCGCAAUUAUUCAUGUUUGAAUACAUAUAAAGACGGGUAAGUUACACCUUGUAUGGAUUGUAUUUUACUAUUUCAACAUAGAAUAUACUCUUUUGCUCAUUUUUGUCAAAAUAUGUCAAUACAUUAAUAUUCUAGCACAAGAACAUGUUUGAAAAACUCCACACAUAACUUGAUAAUUCUUAGGUUUAUUCUAAUUUUUGUAUUUUCUCUACAAUUCCUUUUAACGAUUAACACAACUUGCACAACUAAACAAACUUAUCCUUUAUCUUUAAAGUUGUGUAUGAUCUUACUUAAAAAUUGAUAUUCAAUUUCUAGAGCUCUAUUCAAACCAUCAAGGGAAAUUUCGACAUACAUAACUUCGUAAGCAUCAACAAAGGACAGUACAAUAGCUACAAUUUAUUCAAUCUACUGAUGUAGCUAUGUGGUCUUAAUUUUGCACAUGUGAAAAGGUGAUAUGAUCAAUUUCAUAACUCCUAAAUGGAAUACAAAAUCAAAAAUUAGGCAAACAAGGAGUCCUGUACAUAUACAUGUAAGAGGUUGGAUCAGGCGCCUAGGAGGAGUAGACAUCCCCUGUCGAUCGGUCACACCCGCCGUGAGCCUUAUAUCUUCAUUAAAUUUAAUUAAACGCAUAUGUGCUGUUGUACAGGACUUCAUGACCCAUAUUUACUAAAGUUCGUAGACGUAAACGUAGGAUUUACGUCUGACUUAAGAUUAGAGUUACGUACUCGUAAAAUGGUAUUCACAAAACAGUUCGUAGCCGCAAACGUAACUUACGAAUUCUUAAAUGUACGAUUGCACUUACGCGUGCGCAAUGGCUAUUUUCACUUCGAAGCGUAAACAGUGAAUUUGCUCAUCUACUUUGAAUCCCCUGCGCUACCGACGCAUUAUGACUUAAAAUGACGAAAAAGAACAUAGAACCUCGUGAGAAAGCAACGAAUUUCAACGUACACGUAUGCCUGCCUACGGCAUGUCGAUCAACUGUAGGGCCUACCGUUAUUCAAUGUUUACAAAUUCAAAUGGAAGGUUCAUCAAAUUUAACGCAUUUGUGCAUGGAUCUGCGAUGCUGUACUUGUUCAAAAAGAAGUCGACAUGGACUGACAAGUCUAUGGGUACAAUGCUGUAAUGGCCUGAAAAAUCUUUUGUGAAACCGAGAAAUGCUCAUUUUCCAUUGUCAUUAUUGUGUGAAAGGACGAGAAGAGGAAUGAUUCAAAAAUAGAUGACAGGACUGAGAAUCCAACCCAGGACCCAUUGCCUGGUACUCUACCCAAUGGCCAAUCCAUGCUGAUUGUCCAUCUGCUACAUUGAUGUCAUCGUAUAUAUUUAUUUAUUCAUUUAUUUCAUACGGACAUUUGACAGUAAAAUAAAAAAAAAAUGUUUGAUAUUCACCUAAAUAAAAUUUGUUACAAUACAUGUUUAAGGUAUAAGUACAUGCAUUGUUAUGCAUACAAUUAUGUAAUUAUAUUUGUUUAAAUAGAUAAAUGUUUAGAUGAAAUUUCAUGUUGUAAUUGAUAUUGACAUGUAUCACUUCCAUUUCUAGAAUGAUUUUAAUAUCUUGAUAUUAAAAAGAUGACAAUAUAAA